AUUUGUUUAUUUAUUUAUUUUGCUGUUCUGUUCACUGGGAUGCUCUUUAAGUUUCAACAAAAGGCAUCAUGACUGUGUCCGUGCAUGAUAUUAGAGUUUGUGUGUGUAUACCUCGCACACAUACAUAGUGUGAACUCAAAUUGUUCCCAUAUUUCCUCCUGUUUGUCACUGUGUGUUCACAUGUUGUAUUUCUGAGUGUGUGCGUACAUAUUAUGUGUGUGGGCUGUUUCCUCCACUACCUUGAGCGGUGGCUAGGGGGUGCACUGUGGACACGGUGGGAGAGAGAGAGAGAGAGGGGGGGGGGGGAGUGAGAGACAGACAGAGAGAGAGAGAGAGAUAGAGAGUGUGUGUGUGUGUGUGUGUGUGUGUCUGUGUGUGUGUGUGUGUGUGUGUGUGUCUCAGUAAUGUAUUCCUGCCUGUGGCUGGGCUGGUCACAUGGGGAGAGCAGCCUGUUUAAAACAGCCUCGGCUCUCUCACUCAGAGCAGUGCGAGACACAGAGACAGACGCACACGUUCUCUCUCUCUCUCUCUCUCCCUCUCUCCUUCACACACGCAGACACAUACACACAUGCUCAUGCACGCAGACGGCAACUUUCCUCUAUCGGACUGACACACCACACACGCCGGGAUAGACACACUCCCCUCGCUACAGUGGAGAAGAGGAUAAGGAGUGACAGAUCAGGAAAAAAAAAGCUAAAGAAAUACAGAAAAAAAGAGGAGGUUCCCAGGGGUGGAUUUCACACAGUUACUUAUUCACACCUGGAAGCUGCUCAGUACAACCAGUGAGCAGCCCCACUGGAGUGUUUGAGGUAAAGGGCCUUGCUCAGGGGUACCUCAGUGGUGGUAAUGAGGAAGGGGUCAAGCGCUACCUUUCACUUUCUCCACCCAGAUUUAUCCGGCUGGUUUGGGAGAUUGGACCAUCAGCUUUCCGAUCACAAGCUCGCUUCUCUAACCCUUAGGCCACCACUGCCCCCCUGUCUAUGACUAUACCUGCUCACUUGCACAGAAACAACUUAGUUCAUUUAACAAUUAAAAAUGAUCAUCAUAUUCAGCGAUAGCAGGUGGUUUAAUCCCAAAAGCAGAAGAUGUUUUAAUGAUUCAUAUCAAGUGCUAGUUCGUGAGGUAAUAUUUUGCCAGAAAAACAAAGCAUCGGUACCAUAUUUGCAGUGGAGAAUAUCCUCUCAGGAUUGAUUCCUAAAUAGCACCGUGGCCUCUGCGUGCACUCCAUACUGACUGGCUGGAGGGGUGUUAAUUAGUUUUAAAUAAGCCCAAAUCUUCAGUGCUGUAGUCUUAAUACCAAAAUAUAUGAAGGAAUCACUGUGAUGUAAGAAUUCUGCUGAGUCAGGGUUCAUGAAUGGCUUUUGCUGUGACUUAAUUUCGCUGGAAAAUGGCUGGGAGUGAAGCUUAUGGGAGACAAUUUAAUUGACCAAGCAUGAAUUCCAAAUCUUAAAAUGAUCACCACCAUCAUCCCUCCUCUGCCAAUAAUGUCCGCCUAUACUGCCCGGAAUGCGUUAUGAGCAGAACAAUAUCAACC
rnacentral:lncRNA from 15 species